GUAUGUGAGGGCAAUCUGGUUGCAACAUCUGCAAUCCCAUUGAUUAGCAGAACUGAUUCAGUUGAUCUGGCUGGGAAGGCCGGUGGCCCCUUCUUCCCUCACUAUUCCAUGUGCAUCCCUUUUUAAGCUGCAAGUCAGUACAAGAGGACAACCUUCUUUGAUAGAGAAGACUUGUUCUUUAGUCAAGGGUGCUAUGAUGAAUCCUCCAAACAAGUGUUUAGAAAAACAGAGGCUUGAAUAAAUGACACACCUGGUAACCUGACACCGGUCAACAAGUACAUUCACUUUCAGAGUGAGGUUCAGUCU
rnacentral:sRNA from 1 species